CAGUAGCCGCGGGAAUACGGAGGGUGCAAGCGUUAAUCGGAAUUACUGGGCGUAAAGCGCACGCAGGCGGUCUGACAAGUCAGAUGUGAAAUCCCCGGGCUUAACCUGGGAACUGCAUUUGAAACUGUCAGGCUGGAGUCUUGUAGAGGGGGGUAGAAUUCCAGGUGUAGCGGUGAAAUGCGUAGAGAUCUGGAGGAAUACCGGUGGCGAAGGCGGCCCCCUGGACAAAGACUGACGCUCAGGUGCGAAAGCGUGGGGAGCAAACAGGAUUAGAUACCCCAGUAGUCCCUGUCUCUUAUAU
rnacentral:rRNA from 1 species